rnacentral:rRNA from 1 species
UACGAGGGGGGCUACUGUUGUUCGGAAUUACUGGGCGUAAAGGGUGCGUAGGCGGUUUGAUAAGUCUGAUGUGAAAUCCCCGGGCUCAACCUGGGAACGGCAUUGGAGACUGUCAAGCUAGAGUGCGUCAGAGGGGGGUAGAAUUCCACGUGUAGCAGUGAAAUGCGUAGAGAUGUGGAGGAAUACCGAUGGCGAAGGCAGCCCCCUGGGAUGACACUGACGCUGAAGCACGAAAGCGUGGGGAGCAAACAGG